GAAGACAUUGUCAGGCGGGAAGUUUGACUGGGGCGGUACAUGUGGAGCCUGGGGCUUAAUUUGACUCAACACGGGAAAACUCACCCGGCCCGGACACCGUAAGGAUUGACAGAUUGAAAGCUCUUUCUCGAUUUGGUGGUUGGUGGUGCAUGGCCGUUCUUAGUUGGUGGAGCGAUUUGUCUGGUUUAUUCCGAUAACGAGCGAGACUAUAGCCUGCUAAAUAGUGACUAGAUUACUGUGUCUGGUCUACUUAGAGGGAUAAGCGGUGUUUAGCCGCACGAGAUUGAGCGAUAACAGGUCUGUGAUGCCCUUAGAUGUCCGGGGCUGCACGCGCGCUACAAUGGAAGAAUCAACUGGCCUAUCCAUUGCCGAAAGGUAUUGGUAAACCGUUGAAACUCUUCUGUGACCGGGAUAGGGAAUUGUAAUUAUUUUCCUUGAACGAAGAAUUCCUACUAAGUGUGAGUCAUCAGCUCACACUGAUUAUAUCCCUGCCAUUUGUACACACCGCCCGUCGCUGUGCGGGGCAGAGCUGUCUCAAGAGGACUGUGGACUACUGUAUUAAGGCCUACGGGUCGCGAUAUAGCGGGAAGCAGUUCAAUCGCAAUGGCUUGAACCGGGUAGAAGUCGUAACAAGGUAUCAGUAGGUGAACCUGCAAAUG
rnacentral:ncRNA from 1 species